rnacentral:rRNA from 1 species
GAUCAUGGCUCAGGAUGAACGCUAGCUACAGGCUUAACACAUGCAAGUCGAGGGGCAGCGUUGGAGUAGCAAUACUCAGAUGGCGACCGGCGCACGGGUGAGUAACACGUAUCCAACCUGCCGCUUACUCGGGGAUAGCCUUUCGAAAGAAAGAUUAAUACCCGAUGGUAUAAAGAGUUCGCAUGUUCUCUUUAUUAAAGAAUUUCGGUAAGCGAUGGGGAUGCGUUCCAUUAGAUAGUUGGCGGGGUAACGGCCCACCAAGUCUACGAUGGAUAGGGGUUCUGAGAGGAAGGUCCCCCACAUUGGAACUGAGACACGGUCCAAACUCCUACGGGAGGCAGCAGUGAGGAAUAUUGGUCAAUGGACGAGAGUCUGAACCAGCCAAAAGUAGCGUGAAGGAUGACUGCCCUAUGGGUUGUAAACUUCUUUUAUAAGGGAAUAAAGUGAGGGACGUGUCCCUUUUUGUAUGUACCUUAUGAAUAAGGAUCGGCUAACUCCGUGCCAGCCGCGGC